CCCUUUACCCCUUUCUCUUUUCCCUUCAAACCCUAACGGGUUCGUCAAUAUUAUCGAUGCCUCAUGAUGCUGAAAGACAACCUCCACUGUAAAUCGAUUCGGCAUGUUAAGAAUUUGUUCACUGAUUAUGGAUAACCAAAUUCAUGUCGUUACGCAUAACCGAGAGCUUAAUAUAUGGAAGCAAACUUUACAACAGCAUCAAACCUAUGCCAUAUUGCUUGGAUGAGCCUAUGCUAAAUGAGAUCCCAUUGAAAAUUGUAGAGUUUAUGUCAUUCUUAUUAACCGUGGGUAGCGAAGCUGCUAUGGUGAAAUUAAUUGAUCUUGGAGCAGUCCCGAAACGCUACGAUGUGACAGAGCAUGAGAAUGUCAUGUAUUUUGCAAAUAUGUAAAGCUUGAAAGUUGUGAAAUUGAAGAAAUUGUUGGUAGUAAAAUGUUACUUGCAUUUGUAGAUAAGUUGAUAGAGUUUGAUACUUCUUAAUAUUUGCUGCUGUUUCCGUAUUCAAAGGACUUGAUAUUUUUGGUGCACAUAUGGGAAAACUUACAAGUAGAAAAAAUGCUUCAACAAGGAUACCUAUCUAAUACUGUUGCAAUUAGUGGGGACAGAUCACAGCAUGAAUGUGUUGCAACUAAUUGGAUCUCAUGAUUGGAAUCCACAUAAUUUGACAUUUUCAUUCUUUAGAUAUACCACAUGCCUGGUUUGAUCAAUUAUUCUAUACAAGUUAUAACUUCUAUUUUCUUUGUUCAGAACCAAAAAGAUUAUGCUGGAGCAGCAGAGGAACAACGUAAAGAAGCUGAAGUCGAAGCAAAGGCUCUUCGAACAAUGACAAAGAGAAUGGUUUUGAACCAAGAAUAAAUGGUCUGGAUUUUUCUUGUGUCUCGAUUCAUAUUUUUAUAUCUUUCAGUAGGAUGUGGUCUGAGAAGCAUAUUUUACAUUGGCCUGUUCAUCUAUUACCAUUUUCAAAUGAGUGCAUAUAAUUCUUAUGGUGUGUUAUUUCCAUGCUUUUAAGGCACAUGUGCAGAUAUAGCACAAUCCAAGCAUGAAAAUUUGUAUGCUUUGGUUCCUCUUCCUUUUGAACUUGACACCUCUGUUAGACAAAAGGCUUAAGGAGGAAUCUUGGAACAAAAGUGUCGAUGGUUCAGAUAAAAUCAAAAUUGUUUGCGACGUAAAUGAUCUUGCUGGGGAAGGAAACAUAGACAAUAUGCUUUCAGUUGAGACGAGUUUGAGGGAACUUGCUUCUCUUAAGGUUCUUAAUGAAUAUUAUUGAAGUUAAUGAUAUUUGUUGAGGUCUUACUGAAAUAUAAUGUUUGAGCUAAUUGUCCAUCUAUGUCAUACAAUAUAUAUGCCACUAACAUAGUAUUUCCACUUAUACUUGUAUCAUUUUUAGCCACUUAUACUUCAUUACAGUCUAAACAUUAAAGAGGACAUAAUCACUUAGAAUUUUGACAUUUAUGCAGUUGACAUGACAACUCCCCCUUCUAAAGCAGAGUGGCCUUCAGAUAUUGGCCAAGGAUUGUUUUGAGUCAGUAAUAUUCUUCUGAUAUAAAAUGUUUUAUGAUUCAUGAAGUAUUAAACAGCUAGCCAGUUUGUGGGUUUUCAGGCAAGUUAACCAAUUAACUGUUAAUCUUUUAUUAUAUUAUUUAUAAAGGAAGAUUAUAUGACAAGAGUGGAUAUACAGGAUGAGGAAAAUAAUGUUAGCUACAGUUAGAUCUGUAUUUUUAGUUGUAGAGUUCAUUUGUGGAUGUGUUGCCAAUCUUGUCGGUUCCACAUUUAAUGAA